AGUGAACGCUGGCGAUAGGCCUAACACAUGCAAGUCGAACGGCAGCACAGUAAGAGCUUGCUCUUACGGGUGGCGAGUGGCGGGCGGGUGAGGAAUACAUCGGAAUCUACUUUUUCGUGGGGGAUAACGUAGGGAAACUUACGCUAAUACCGCAUACGACCUACGGGUGAAAGCAGGGGAUCUUCGGACCUUUCGCGAUGGAAUGAGCCGAUGUCGGAUUAGCUAGUUGGCGGGGUAAAGGCCCACCAAGGCGACGAUCUGUAGCUGGUCUGAGAGGAUGAUCAGCCACACUGGAACUGAGACACGGUCCAGACUCCUACGGGAGGCAGCAGUGGGGAAUAUUGGACAAUGGGCGCAAGCCUGAUCCAGCCAUACCGCGUGGGUGAAGAAGGCCUUCGGGUUGUAAAGCCCUUUUGUUGGGAAAGAAAAGCAGCAGGUUAAUACCCCGCUGUUCUGACGGUACCCAAAGAAUAAGCACCGGCUAACUUCGUG
rnacentral:rRNA from 1 species